GGGGGCCCAUCCUCCAAGGCUAAAUACUCCUGACUGACCGAUAGUGAACCAGUACCGUGAGGGAAAGGCGAAAAGAACCCCGGCGAGGGGAGUGAAAAAGAACCUGAAACCGUGUACGUACAAGCAGUGGGAGCACGCUUAGGCGUGUGACUGCGUACCUUUUGUAUAAUGGGUCAGCGACUUAUAUUCUGUAGCAAGGUUAACCGAAUAGGGGAGCCGAAGGGAAACCGAGUCUUAACUGGGCGUUAAGUUGCAGGGUAUAGACCCGAAACCCGGUGAUCUAGCCAUGGGCAGGUUGAAGGUUGGGUAACACUAACUGGAGGACCGAACCGACUAAUGUUGAAAAAUUAGCGGAUGACUUGUGGCUGGGGGUGAAAGGCCAAUCAAACCGGGAGAUAGCUGGUUCUCCCCGAAAGCUAUUUAGGUAGCGCCUCGUGAAUUCAUCUCCGGGGGUAGAGCACUGUUUCGGCA
rnacentral:rRNA from 1 species